CGAGAAACACGUUGACACCUGAAGCAAACGAGACAUUCAGUGGGACAGAAUUUGUUCACGCACAUGGGGCACACACAUUGUCCAACGGCCUGUGUCUACAGGAUGGUCACUCUGUACUAAUCCUCCCAAGCUUAAGAAGAAACAUUUCCACUGUCACCCUCAGCGUGCUGGAACAAAGGCUGAGGAAAAGGCUAAGCCCUGGACAGACGUCAAAACCUGACCCUGAGUCAUCUCGGCAGCGAAUCAGGCCUCUUGAGCAGCGUCCCAAGCCGCUCAAGUCAGCUGUAAGACCCAAGCAGUGCUGGAACCUAUACCAUCUGGGAUGCUGUGGAGUUGUUCACCACCAGCUCCUUACGCGUCUCCCAGAGAGACACGUCGUCGGUGUCUUGCUCCACAAAUCAUGCGCCUCUAUGACUCCUGGGGACAAGGAAGCAUUAUCCUACUUCAAGCCAAAGAAGGACAAAGUCACCUCAGUGACACAUACAGGAGCUUAUCUGUGAAACACUCUCUGAGGUAGAUUCUGCCGUUGAUACUGAUUUUGCAAACGAGGGAACCAGGCACCGAGAAGUUAAGUCAGUAGCAAGACAGAAGUCCAAGCCUUCUUCCUUUCGAGCUUGUUUCCCUAACAGGACUGAGUACGUCUGUGUGAAUUAGGCACAGUGCUAAAGCUUCUUAAGCGCCCAUAUAUCUUUCACGCUAGCCCUCUUUUAUGAGAACACUGAGGCUUACAAAGAAAAUAUAUGUCGCUUGAAGCCCAUGGAUAA